GAGGAGGUGGCCGAGCGGUUAAGGCGAUGGACUGCUAAUCCAUUGGAUUUUAUCCGCGUGGAUUCGAAUCCCACCCUCGUAG
rnacentral:tRNA from 1 species